rnacentral:rRNA from 1 species
GAAACCCGGUGAUCUAGCCAUGGGCAGGUUGAAGGUUGGGUAACACUAACUGGAGGACCGAACCGACUAAUGUUGAAAAAUUAGCGGAUGACUUGUGGCUGGGGGUGAAAGGCCAAUCAAACCGGGAGAUAGCUGGUUCUCCCCGAAAGCUAUUUAGGUAGCGCCUCGUGAAUUCAUCUCCGGGGGUAGAGCACUGUUUCGGCAAGGGGGUCAUCCCGACUUACCAACCCGAUGCAAACUGCGAAUACCGGAGAAUGUUAUCACGGGAGACACACGGCGGGUGCUAACGUCCGUCGUGAAGAGGGAAACAACCCAGACCGCCAGCUAAGGUCCCAAAGUCAUGGUUAAGUGGGAAACGAUGUGGGAAGGCCCAGACAGCCAGGAUGUUGGCUUAGAAGCAGCCAUCAUUUAAAGAAAGCGUAAUAGCUCACUGGUCGAGUCGGCCUGCGCGGAAGAUGUAACGGGGCUAAACCAUGCACCGAAGCUGCGGCAGCGACACUAUGUGUUGUUGGGUAGGGGAGCGUUCUGUAAGCCUGUGAAGGUGGCCUGUGAGGGUUGCUGGAGGUAUCAGAAGUGCGAAUGCUGACAUAAGUAACGAUAAAGCGGGUGAAAAGCCCGCUCGCCGGAAGACCAAGGGUUCCUGUCCAACGUUAAUCGGGGCAGGGUGAGUCGACCCCUAAGGCGAGGCCGAAAGGCGUAGUCGAUGGGAAACAGGUUAAUAUUCCUGUACUUGGUGUUACUGCGAAGGGGGGACGGAGAAGGCUAUGUUGGCCGGGCGACGGUUGUCCCGGUUUAAGCGUGUAGGCUGGUUUUCCAGGCAAAUCCGGAAAACCAAGGCUGAGGCGUGAUGACGAGGCACUACGGUGCUGAAGCGACAAAUGCCCUGCUUCCAGGAAAAGCCUCUAAGCAUCAGGUAACAUCAAAUCGUACCCCAAACCGACACAGGUGGUCAGGUAGAGAAUACCAAGGCGCUUGAGAGAACUCGGGUGAAGGAACUAGGCAAAAUGGUGCCGUAACUUCGGGAGAAGGCACGCUGAUAUGUAGGUGAAGCGACUUGCUCGUGGAGCUGAAAUCAGUCGAAGAUACCAGCUGGCUGCAACUGUUUAUUAAAAACACAGCACUGUGCAAACACGAAAGUGGACGUAUACGGUGUGACGCCUGCCCGGUGCCGGAAGGUUAAUUGAUGGGGUUAGCGGUAACGCGAAGCUCUUGAUCGAAGCCCCGGUAAACGGCGGCCGUAACUAUAACGGUCCUAAGGUAGCGAAAUUCCUUGUCGGGUAAGUUCCGACCUGCACGAAUGGCGUAAUGAUGGCCAGGCUGUCUCCACCCGAGACUCAGUGAAAUUGAACUCGCUGUGAAGAUGCAGUGUACCCGCGGCAAGACGGAAAGACCCCGUGAACCUUUACUAUAGCUUGACACUGAACAUUGAGCCUUGAUGUGUAGGAUAGGUGGGAGGCUUUGAAGUGUGGACGCCAGUCUGCAUGGAGCCGACCUUGAAAUACCACCCUUUAAUGUUUGAUGUUCUAACGUUGGCCCCUAAUCGGGGUUGCGGACAGUGUCUGGUGGGUAGUUUGACUGGGGCGGUCUCCUCCUAAAGAGUAACGGAGGAGCACGAAGGUUGGCUAAUCCUGGUCGGACAUCAGGAGGUUAGUGCAAUGGCAUAAGCCAGCUUGACUGCGAGCGUGACGGCGCGAGCAGGUGCGAAAGCAGGUCAUAGUGAUCCGGUGGUUCUGAAUGGAAGGGCCAUCGCUCAACGGAUAAAAGGUACUCCGGGGAUAACAGGCUGAUACCGCCCAAGAGUUCAUAUCGACGGCGGUGUUUGGCACCUCGAUGUCGGCUCAUCACAUCCUGGGGCUGAAGUAGGUCCCAAGGGUAUGGCUGUUCGCCAUUUAAAGUGGUACGCGAGCUGGGUUUAGAACGUCGUGAGACAGUUCGGUCCCUAUCUGCCGUGGGCGCUGGAGAACUGAGGGGGGCUGCUCCUAGUACGAGAGGACCGGAGUGGACGCAUCACUGGUGUUCGGGUUGUCAUGCCAAUGGCACUGCCCGGUAGCUAAAUGCGGAAGAGAUAAGUGCUGAAAGCAUCUAAGCACGAAACUUGCCCCGAGAUGAGUUCUCCCUGAGACUUAGAGUCUCCUGAAGGAACGUUGAAGACGACGACGUUGAUAGGCCGGGUGUGUAAGCGCAGCGAUGCGUUGAGCUAACCGGUACUAAUGAACCGUGAGGCUUAACCUUACAACGCCGAAG